rnacentral:rRNA from 1 species
CCCCCGGGGGGGGGCACAGUGGGGAAUAUUGGACAAUGGGCGAAAGCCUGAUCCAGCCAUGCCGCGUGUGUGAAGAAGGUCUUCGGAUUGUAAAGCACUUUAAGUUGGGAGGAAGGGCAGUAAGCUAAUACCUUGCUGUUUUGACGUUACCGACAGAAUAAGCACCGGCUAACUUCGUGCCAGCAGCCGCGGUAAUACGAAGGGUGCAAGCGUUAAUCGGAAUUACUGGGCGUAAAGCGCGCGUAGGUGGUUUGAUAAGUUGGAUGUGAAAGCCCCGGGCUCAACCUGGGAAUUGCAUCCAAAACUGUCUGACUAGAGUAUGGCAGAGGGUGGUGGAAUUUCCUGUGUAGCGGUGAAAUGCGUAGAUAUAGGAAGGAACACCAGUGGCGAAGGCGACCACCUGGGCUAAUACUGACACUGAGGUGCGAAAGCGUGGGGAGCAAACUAGGAUUAGAUA